UAGGGAGGGUGCGAGCGUUAAUCGGAAUCACUGGGCGUAAAGGGCGCGUAGGCGGCCUAGCAAGUCUGGUGUGAAAGCCCAGGGCUCAACCCUGGAAGGGCACUGGAAACUGUUAGGCUUGAGUUCCGGAGAGGAGGGGGGAAUUCCCGGUGUAGCGGUGAAAUGCGUAGAUAUCGGGAGGAAUACCGGUGGCGAAGGCGCCCCUCUGGACGGAAACUGACGCUGAGGCGCGAAAGCGUGGGGAGCAAACAGG
rnacentral:rRNA from 1 species